rnacentral:lncRNA from 1 species
ACAAAACAUUAUCUACUGCCAUUUCUAUUUUAUUUUGCUAUUUAUAAAGUUAAUAUUUUUUCACAUUUUUUCAUGUCCCCAUAAAUCACAUGCAGUAGCUGUUAAUUGUGAAGUAACUCAGAAUAUUAAUGAGCACUGCAGAAAGAGAGUGGUAAAUUCAGGAGUCCUAUUGCUGGUUCAAAACACCGGAUGCUUAAAUACAUGUGGGGCUUACAUUUGCUCAUGAAUUGACAGCUUGUGAGGAAAAUAUGAGAACAAAGAGGACGGUCCUUAAGAAUUUGCUGUGCUAUGGAGGACAUAAGCAUACAUUAUGUGUACCAGACCACUCGACAGUCUCAGCAUGUCUUUAAGACCAGCUGGACAUCUUCAAUGCAGUGAAAGCUUACAGUUGCGUAAGAAUGGCAUGGUGUGCUGUGAGGCACUAGAAGAAGCACUAGAGAGCAAUGUGUUUGACCGCUACCCUUUAAGCAUUUGAAACUUUGAUUCAAACCUUGACAUGAACUUCAGAUGAAGAUAAGUAAAUACUGCAUCUUUCAUCCUAAAGUUUUCACUGAUGCUCAUCAUGGAGGCGUCCAUUGUAACAGCUGAUGUAAUUGUGUAUUUCCUCCUCUGAUAAGGACCACAGAAACAAAAUAGGGGGGGGGUUGAUGGUUAAGAAAGAAAUGUACUUCUCAAAGUUAGUGCACAAAAAGGCUCACAAAAGCAGAGAUUUGUUCAGGUUGGGAAUGGUGCAUUUUCAGAUCAGUGAGUAAAAGCUUGGGCAGAAGCUGAUCGGAAAAAACGAGCCCAUAGAUUCCAUGAAAUGAGCUGCUGGAGUCGUUGUCACAGUUCCAGGUCCAGUUUGGCACCCACCGUGGCUGCACCUGCUGGUGCCAUUUUGUUGACAGGUACAAAUCACCAGCCAUCAAGGAGAAAACCAUGAAACAGACAACAACUGGCUCUGAUGGUAUGAAGUAAUUAGCUAGCCCAGAGCUCUAGGCAGCAGUAUCUAAAAGGAAGCAGGUGGACCACCAGGGAAGCCUCUACGUUUGCUGUUUUGUUUGUUUUUCUCUCUGAGUACAGCAGUAGCCAAACAACGCAAAGACAUUUUGCAAAGUGCUUGCAAGAGAGAGCCUCCCAAGGGUCUGACAAACCCAUUGCGCUCUCUUCUUAUUUAACACACAUCUUUCAAAGAUCUACUCUCCUUCACGGAGUUUUUCCACUUGUAUUCUGAAAUCUGAUAUAGUUUUUCAUAUUACAUGAAUAUACUGAUUGUAAACUGAGAAAGAUGGAGUUCAUGUGUGAUGCUGAGCAAUGUGAGCGUUAGUUUGGUGAUUUG